rnacentral:rRNA from 1 species
UAAACUUUCAGCUAGAGUAUGAUAGAGAAAGCAGAAUUCUAGUGUAGAGGUGAAAUUCGUAGAUAUUAGAAAGAAUACCAAUUGCGAAGGCAGCUUUCUGGAUCAUUACUGACACUGAGGAACGAAAGCAUGGGUAGCGAAGAGGAUUAGAUACCCUCGUAGUCCAUGCCGUAAACGAUGUGUGUUAGACGUUGGAAAUUUAUUUUCAGUGUCGCAGGGAAACCGAUAAACACACCGCCUGGGGAGUACGACCGCAAGGUUAAAACUCAAAUGAAUUGACGGGGACCCGCACAAGUAGUGGAGCAUGUGGUUUAAUUCGAAGAUACGCGCAGAACCUUACCAACACUUGACAUGUUCGUCGCGACUUUAAGAGAUUAAAGUUUUCGGUUCGGCCGGACGAAACACAGGUGCUGCAUGGCUGUCGUCAGCUCGUGUCGUGAGAUGUUGGGUUAAGCCCCGCAACGAGCGCAACCCUCACUUUUAGUUGCCAUCAUUUAGUUGGGCACUCUGAAAGAACUGCCAGUGAUAAGCUGGAGGAAGGUGGGGAUGACGUCAAGUCCUCAUGGCCCUUACGUGUUGGGCUACACACGUGCUACAAUGGUAUCUACAACAGGAAGCAAGACUGCGAAGUUAAGCAAAUCCCUAAAAGAUACCUCAGUUCGGAUUGCACUCUGCAACUCGAGUGCAUGAAGCUGGAAUUACUAGUAAUCGUGGAUCAGCGUGCCGCGGUGAAUGCGUUCCCGGGUCUUGUACACACCGCCCGUCACACCAUGGGAGUUGGUUCUACCUUAAGGCAAGGUUUAAAACCCUUGACCACGGUAUAGUCAGCGACUGGGGUGAAGUCGUAACAAGGUAACCGUA